rnacentral:lncRNA from 1 species
UUCACCACUCAGAAAAGCUUUUUAUUAAGAAUAAAACAGAAACCCGUCCAAUGCCAAGUUUAGAAUCUUUUCCUUGCGCCUGUCCCAGCCCUGUUCUGAUACGUGCUGGAAAGGCCAUGCUUAAGCUCCGGGGCGGCGCAGGGGCUCCCGAAGCAGGGUGGCCAGGCUGGCGGUGGGGCACAGGGCCAGGGGGUCCCAGCAGGGCUGGGGGUCCCCACCUCAGCCCAGGACAGCUGGCGGGGCCGGGGCACAGGUCCCAGCGCUGCACAAGGAGGCGGCAACCUCGUACCGAGUGUCUCUAGAAACGGUUAGAAAAAAUACAAGGAAAUGAAUUUAUAAAACCUUUUAGUGGUGGAAAGGAGGAGGGGGAAGAAGAAGGAGAGAGAAAUUGCACUAUGACCAAGCAAUAUAAUUAAAAAAAACAAAACAAAAGAAGACAAAACAAAAGGAUUUCCAAAAGAGACCUUGCGGGAUUGGACAGAUAAAGCUAGUGUUAAAUUGUUAACUUGUAUCACACAGAGAAUCAAAAACAAACAAACAAAAAAAUUUCUAUAUGAUACAGACAGAGUAACAUACAACAGUUAAAUGGCAAAAAAUAUAUAUAUAUAUUUCAUAGAAUUACAAACAAGAUAAAAUAAUGGAAAACAAAAACUGUACAACUUUAGAAUUUAAAAAAUGUUCAUCUCAAACACAGGGAGAAAUACAAGAACUUUUGUUAAAAGAAAAGAGUUUGUUAAAACAGCGAACGCUUUUUGUGUACUUGUUUCCGUUUUUGACACCUUAUGCUACAACUGGGUACUGGUAGGAAUAUCAGAUGGUACUCACUUUAGUAUUGUCUACUUAAAAAACAAUUAAAAAAGGAAUUUGCACUGUGCAUUAGCCUAGUUAGAAAUAUGUACAACAGUUCAGGAUCUAGUCAUUCAUCAAACUAAAACCAAAACUCCAUAAAAAUAAAAGCGUCCCGCUAGAAAAUGAACCCCAUGUUCGUCUCUCCAAUGCUCCAGUCUCUCGCAGGGUCGACGAGCGGCUUCAGCACAGGGAGGAGAAGUCAAGGCGGCGGGAGGAACCUGCGUUCACAGUCUUCGAAGUUCCUUUUUGAAGCAGGAGGAAGAUGAAGAUGAUGGGGAGAAGGCUCUCGCGCUUUCGGGGUGGAGGAAACAGGGGGCGGGGUGGGAGAAAGGAGAUUGUUUCUGUUGACAUUUGGCUACGGGAGUGAAACAACAUCUAUUUGUCUCCAAAACCUACAUUUUAGCAGCACAAAGUUUUCCUUUCAAAGUCCGGACCGUACAAGACGCGUGCGAGCGUCCAUGCAUUCCAUGAGCAGGGCAUGGAGCAGGACGGGGACACCAGUGCCCGCCACGGGAGGGAACUUGGAAAGAGAAACCUGCCUUUUGGUGCACUGGGGUUUCGCUAAAAGUUGUCUCUCUGCUUGCAGAAGAAGCACAGAUAACAACCUGGGUACUUUUUUUAUUCUUUAUUUAAACUUAGACUUGUUUGUUUAAAUCAGAAACAAAUUCUCAAGUAAAAAGAAUCCUUUUUGCUCAUUCUGCACCAGUGGUGAAAGGGUAUGUCUUUGGAUUUUAUUUAAAGCAUGAAUUUUCUUUAGAGAAAAAAAAUGUAACAAAAACUUCUUUUAAAAGAAGGAACAGAGUGCAGCCUAAUUACACAAACAGAAACAAAUGCUUAUAGUUUAGGAACAGAGUCUUUGAAGCAUUUACAAAAUGAGGAAAAAAAGAAGGGAAGAAGAAGAAAAAAAAAAGGAAAAAUAGA